rnacentral:rRNA from 1 species
GACGUAGGGCGCGAGCGUUGUCCGGAUUUAUUGGGCGUAAAGAGCUCGUAGGCGGCUUGUUGCGUCGUCCGUGAAAACCUGUGGCUCAACCACAGGCUUGCGGUCGAUACGGGCGGGCUGGAGUUCGGUAGGGGAGACUGGAAUUCCUGGUGUAGCGGUGAAAUGCGCAGAUAUCAGGAGGAACACCGGUGGCGAAGGCGGGUCUCUGGGCCGAUACUGACGCUGAGGAGCGAAAGCGUGGGGAGCAAACAGG